GGUGGGUGAAAGACCCGAGCUAACAUGGGGUUAGCUCGUUAAAUUACAAUAAAGCCUCGUGCAGUUUGCAGCAAGCUCUCGAAUCCGCCUGGUGAUUGGGGUGACCGCGAACCUGGCCUGAGACCCCGGAUACUUGAGUUUUCGGGGGUCUAACAUUUUGGGGGCUCGUCCGCGAUUUGCGACCACCCUUCACCUGAGUGGAUUCGAUCUUGGAGGUAAGAUGAUUGGAGCUCGAAACUUAUAUAUGUUCAAUGUUCUAUGUUUCUUGUUUUGUCUCUUGCUGUGUUGUUGGUUUGGUGCCAUGAUUUGUAUUUGAUCUGCGCAGAAUUUGUAUUUGUAAUUCGGACUUCUGGGGAAGACCCUGAAGUCCUGCCCUGGAUGAAAGUCCGAGGGUUGCUUGAUUUGAUCUGCGCAGAAUUUGUAAUUUGUAUUUGAUCUGCGCAGAAUUUGUAAUUGAACCAUAGGGUAAGCAGACUUGCGAGAACCUUGGUUCCACCCUGGAUGAAAGUCCAAGGUUUGGUUGUAAUUUUGGUUUGGGGCACCAUUUCUUUGCCGCGGUUUGUCCUGUCUAAUGUUUGUGCUGUCUAAUGUGCUGUCAUUUGUGUUAUAUGUUUCUUAAGCAUCUCUUUCUGUCCCUGCUCUCCCUAUGCACGUGGCAUGCAUGGGUCAGGGGGUCAGGGGUCUUUUCUUGAUUCUCUGAGCACGUGGCGCCACCUCAACUGUGAUCGGCAGAUGCGCCCUGUGGACAGACUGCCACUCUGAGGACACCCAGGACCCAGGAGUUUAUAAUGUCAGACAGACUGCCAGAUCCGGACAGUGACCCAAAGUCUCCAAAGAAGAUUACGAGGCACCUCAGUUCCUGCACCUGGACCAGUGAGCGAGAUGCUCAGAUGUGAAACCUGCCGCCUGCCAGAACCUGGCCGAGAAUGUGGACAAAGCUGCUGGACACUGGAAAAUUGAUUGCACCCCUUUGCCUAGACAAAACAAGGUCAGUCUUUUCCAUGUCCCUCUUCCACAGAGAGAAAAAAAAACUCUCACAGUAUAGGCCUGGCGAGGAUUGCUGUUCUUUGAGACAGCUGCCUCCAGCGGUAAUGGAGAAACUUGGGUUUGGCUAACUGUAUAUGGACUGGCUUCUGUCACUUUUUAGUAGAUUCGGAUAAAACAUACCCUUCUCAGAUCUCUGAAAUAUUACUGGUUGUCAGCUUGACAGCAUCAGGCAGUCAGAUCCACUAUAGACUAG
rnacentral:lncRNA from 1 species